rnacentral:rRNA from 1 species
GGCGGCGUGCUUAACACAUGCAAGUCGAACGAUGAUGGGAGCUUGCUCUGGAUUAGUGGCGAACGGGUGAGUAACACGUGAGUAACCUGCCCUUAACUCUGGGAUAAGCCUGGGAAACUGGGUCUAAUACCGGAUAUGACUCCUCAUCGCAUGGUGGGGGGUGGAAAGCUUUAUUGUGGUUUUGGAUGGACUCGCGGCCUAUCAGCUUGUUGGUGAGGUAAUGGCUUACCAAGGCGACGACGGGUAGCCGGCCUGAGAGGGUGACCGGCCACACUGGGACUGAGACACGGCCCAGACUCNUACGGGAGGCAGCAGUGGGGAAUAUUGCACAAUGGGCGCAAGCCUGAUGCAGCGACGCCGCGUGAGGGAUGACGGCNUUCGGGUUGUAAACCUCUUUCAGUAGGGAAGAAGCGAAAGUGACGGUACCUGCAGAAGAAGCGCCGGCUAACUACGUGCCAGCAGCCGCGGUAAUACGUAGGGGCCAAGCGUUAUCCGGAAUUAUUGGGCGUAAAGAGCUCGUAGGCGGUUUGUCGCGUCUGCCGUGAAAGUCCGGGGCUCAACUCCGGAUCUGCGGUGGGUACGGGCAGACUAGAGUGAUGUAGGGGAGACUGGAAUUCCUGGUGUAGCGGUGAAAUGCGCAGAUAUCAGGAGGAACACCGAUGGCGAAGGCAGGUCUCUGGGCAUUAACUGACGCUGAGGAGCGAAAGCAUGGGGAGCGAACAGGAUUAGAUACCCUGGUACUGGAUGCCGUAAACGUUGGGCACUAGGUGUGGGGGACAUUCCACGUUUUCCGCGCCGUNNNNAACGCAUUAAGUGCCCGCCUGGGGAGUAC